GAUCAUGGCUCAGGAUGAACGCUAGCGGCAGGCUUAACACAUGCAAGUCGAGGGGCAGCGCGAGGUAGCAAUACCUUGGCGGCGACCGGCGGAAGGGUGCGUAACGCGUGAGCAACAUGCCCGUAUGAGGGGGAUAAGCGAUGGAAACGUCGUCUAAUACCCCGUAACACAGGAGAUCGCAUGAUCACCUGUUGAAAGAUUCAUCGCAUACGGAUUGGCUCGCGUGACAUUAGCUAGUCGGCGGGGUAACGGCCCACCGAGGCGACGAUGUCUAGGGGUUCUGAGAGGAAGGUCCCCCACACUGGAACUGAGACACGGUCCAGACUCCUACGGGAGGCAGCAGUGAGGAAUAUUGGUCAAUGGGCGGAAGCCUGAACCAGCCAUGCCGCGUGAAGGAAUAAGGCCCUAUGGGUCGUAAACUUCUUUUGACGGGGAGCAAUAAGGGUCACGUGUGGCCCGAUGAGAGUACUCGUCGAAUAAGCAUCGGCUAACUCCGUGCCAGCCGCCGC
rnacentral:rRNA from 1 species